rnacentral:lncRNA from 1 species
AAAAAAAAAAAAAAAAAAAGUGAUGAGAACAAAUUCAGUGUGAGUGUGAACAAAUAACAGAUUCAUUCAUGUCUCUGAUUCAAUCUCUAAUAGUCUUACAAGUUAAGCCAUUUUUAUAAUCGUAAUAUCAUCAAGUCUUUCUGAUGCAUGAUCUGAACUUCAGUGCCAGAGCCCAAAUAAAAAUGAGGCCCAAAAACAGUUGAGAGUGGGUAAAUGUGGCGAGCCAGAGCCAGAACCUGCUUUUGCUUUGUCAUUCCUUACUCUUUUUCUGAAAUUAACAAAUGGGUCCCAAAGUCUCUGGCUCACGUAGAAAAGGAAAAAAAAAAAGGAAAAAUCAAGCAAAACAUGCUAGGGUACUCACAUGUGCAAUCACACUGUAGCAGAUUCUUCGGGAAACUUUGCUGAACUCAGGUCUUUAAAAGGUGGGUUCCAAGUGGUGUAAUACUUAAAUGAGUUUGUAUUUAUAUGGACAACGGGGAGUCCAAUAACUUCUAAGUGGGGUUAUAAUUAACUGGAAGAAGAAGCAAAACUAGGGCAAAUUAAAAACUAAUCUCUAGAUAUACUUUUAAUGCACACGUUCAAUAAGAAUAUAUUCUUGUUUGAUGGUGACAAGUUAACAAACGACGGUAAUCAAGGAGAACGCGC